CGCGUAGGUGGUAGUGCAAGUCUGGGGUGGAAUCUUAGGGCUUAACCCUAAAAUUGCCUUGGAAACUGUAUUACUUGAGUCAGUGAGGGGAGGGUAGAAUUCCCGGUGUAGCGGUGAAAUGCGUAGAUAUCGGGAGGAAGGCCUGUGGCGAAGGCGGCCCUCUGGCGCUGAACUGACACUGAGGCGCGAAAGCGUGGGUAGCAAACAGGAUUAGAUACCCUGGUAGUCCACGCCCUAAACGGUGGAUACUAGGUGUAGGGCUCGUAAGGGUUCUGUGCCGAAGCGAAAGCAUUAAGUAUCCCGCCUGGGGAGUACGGCCGCAAGGUUGAA
rnacentral:rRNA from 1 species